rnacentral:rRNA from 1 species
UACAGAGGGGGCUAGCGUUGCUCGGAAUCACUGGGCGUAAAGGGUGCGUAGGCGGGUAUUUAAGUCAGGGGUGAAAUCCUGGAGCUCAACUCCAGAACUGCCUUUGAUACUGAAGAUCUUGAGUUCGGGAGAGGUGAGUGGAACUGCGAGUGUAGAGGUGAAAUUCGUAGAUAUUCGCAAGAACACCAGUGGCGAAGGCGGCUCACUGGCCCGAUACUGACGCUGAGGCACGAAAGCGUGGGGAGCAAACAGG